UAAGACUUGCGAGGUAAAUUUACCUCGCGCGUCUCGACAGCCGGUUCACCACUGCUACCCACGAUCUGUUCCGCACGCAGCCACAUCGGUUCCCUUCUGCGGAGGCCAACGGAGCAAGUCCCUCUAUCCUUGCAGCCACGAACUGGCUCUGGCGGCUUUGCUGAAGGCCAUCGGUCAUCUCGCCGGCGGGAUUCGUGCGGGACCCAAUUCAGCGUAAGCGGCGGCGCCAAGUGCGCAAGUCUGACCUCGACAUCCAUGAAUCAGUUUCGCCAGGGAAGCGAGCUCAGGGGCCCUGAUUGAAUGGAUCCCAAGAUCUCACCGGCCACGGUUGAGUCAUCAUGGUCUAGGUAUCAUCACCUCCUCUUCAAGUUUAUUCGCUUCUCCCACUUCAUGUGCCCAUGAGCUCAAGCUCCGCCCCUUGCAUCUGCACCCUCCACACCCUCCCCCCCGGGGUGACUUUCCUACUUAUUUUUGAUAGACUGAAGGUUGUUUCUGUCGGCAAGAGUGCAUAAAAAAUUGUGUAUUAUGAGUUUGGCGUCUUAACUGGGGAGGUAAGUUGUGAUGGGGUAUUUUGUUUGUCAAGGAAUCGUUCGUUCCUGUUGUAAUGAGAGCAGAACGAAAUUACAAUGCAUGUUAUGUGAAAUUAAAGUGCUUAUGGUAAGGUAUUAUAAUAUCAUUAUUUGUCCUGGGGCGCCUGCCAGAACGCUAGCAUGGCCGUAACCUCAGCAUCUAGGCAGUUGCAGGUUUUCUUCAGCUUAUAUAUAGUUUGCGUACUUGCUAGACGGUAAUUUUGUUGGCUAAGUUCUUCUACUCUUUCCUGAUUUUUAGGGAGAUACCAAUACCCAAUUCCAAAGAAAGGGAUCCAGGUGGGGCCUCACCAUACAAGUAUGAUCUACUUACUAUGAUCAAUGAUGAUGAACUCCAUCAAAACAUACUGUAUUUCCUCUGCAGAAUUCCCCUUUUGUCAAUCGACUUUAGUUGUAUAGCCUGAUUGACCUGUCAAACUCAUUGUAUUUUCCUUGCCCUUUUCUUGGGAAGGCAUGGGAGAAAGAUUUUGUUCUAGGAUAUAGCUUUGUACCGCAAUGCAUGAUGAGCAAAUCUAACUGCAAAUACACUUGUAUUGUUCAGAAAAGCUCUCUGGUUCUGUUACUCAGAGUCGUACAUGCAGAUAGUAGCUCCUCCAAACAUUAUUGUAAUGUUACUACUUAAUGUGGAUUCUGGAGGUGCGGCUAAAAUUUCCUACUAGAGGCCCCUGCGUGGCUACCUGGUUGCUCCAAUCUGCUGGCUCAACAUUUGCUUGUUGAGGGUGCUGGCUUUUAAUUUUUUUGGGUUUGUCUUGUAAAACACUGGUCGUUUCUUUGAUGGAAUUCACCGAGGCGUGCUCAUUGUUUAUUUAAGGUGUGGAUUUAAAGUAGAUAUACCUCAUGUUGGAGUUGAAGUAAAUCCUUCAUGUACUAAUUGUAGAGUUUCCUAUCAGUUUUGAGCUGCUUUUGUGCCACCACUGAUUUCCACAUAAAAAUUAGGAAAUUAGGUGAUUAAUUUUCAGGUACAAAUUAUAUCACCAAAGGCAUUCCCAGGAUGAUUAGCUUUUGUAGUUGAGAAAUAGCUAACUCUCUCCCUUGCAAAAGAAAAUGAAGCAGUUAGCUCUCAUAUGAACGUGUGUUUAGAUCUUCUUGCUCUGUUAUGGAUUGAUCUAACUAGAAGCUUCAUAUAGUUGACAGGCCAUUGUCUUCAUUUGAGAUUCAUGAUGAUACUACUUGUUCUAUACAGAAAAUCCAUGUGUAUACAGGUAUUGUAUUUGCAGUUUUUCCCUUAAAUAUUGAUUCUCUUUUCAAUCUGAAAAUUCGGUACUUAAUAUACUUCUUAGUCCCUUUAUCUUGGCAGGGUUGUUCUGUUCAGAAUACCAUUUUCUUUUUAGAAUGUUAUUCACUAAAUAAAAACUUAAUAUACUUCUUAGUCCCUUUAUCUUGGAAUAGGAAAUGAAUAUGUGCUGGUUUCUUAUUUAAAACUGCUGGGAGUUCAUAUUACCAAAGCUUCAGAUGUCUGACCCAUCAGGUAUGUGCUAUAUAUAGGGCUUUUUCUUUGCGGGGAGUAUAUAUAGGGCUUUCAUACAUGUUAUUUAGCUUAAGAUGAGAUAUGCAUCCUUUCAAUGUAGGUGGUAACUGAAUCAAGUACUUUAGUUUGGGCAAUAGAGUGUAGAGGGUUCUACACAUGAAGCAUGCAUCAAGGACUGAUGCGAGAAAGCACAUGGAGCGUUAUCGUGGCAAUGUUGGCUGGGAUGCUCAUGUCACCUACGAGAACGAGCACAACCCCAACAAAGUCCAGCCGCUUGACUUGUUGAUGCUCGCCAUGAAUUCAGAAGCCUGAGUGAAGCUGCCAAUCCCAGAAAAAAGAUAGAAGAACUCUGAAUUUUUAUGGCAUGGAUGGCACAUGUCAUUCAGUUGGUCUUUGGUUAUUCAGUCUGACAACAAGAUCUGAAUGAAUUCUUGGUUUCGCUACCCUAAAAUUGUAACAGGAAGACAAAGAUUUCACUGCCUUUCUUUUUCAUGAUGUCUAGUGAAUACUCCAACUUGAUUUGGGUGCAAUGCAUUUACCUUGCAAAUUAUUCUGUUGAUGAAAUCGUGCUUGUCAAAUUUCCUUGUAGAAGUACAACUGGAAGUUUUUCUUGUAAUUUGUGUGUGUUCUCAGAAGAUUGAGAUAUGCUUG